GACGAACGCUGGCGGCGUGCUUAACACAUGCAAGUCGAACGGAAAGGCCCUGCUUUUGUGGGGUGCUCGAGUGGCGAACGGGUGAGUAACACGUGAGUAACCUGCCCUUGACUUUGGGAUAACUUCAGGAAACUGGGGCUAAUACCGGAUAGGAGCUCCUGCUGCAUGGUGGGGGUUGGAAAGUUUCGGCGGUUGGGGAUGGACUCGCGGCUUAUCAGCUUGUUGGUGGGGUAGUGGCUUACCAAGGCUUUGACGGGUAGCCGGCCUGAGAGGGUGACCGGCCACAUUGGGAAUGGGAUACGGGCCAGGCUUCUUCGGGAGGGAGCAGUGGGGGAUAUUGCACAAUGGGCGGAAGGCUGAUGCAGCAACGCCGCGUGCGGGAUGACGGCCUUCGGGUUGUAAACCGCUUUCGCCUGUGACGAAGCGUGAGUGACGGUAAUGGGUAAAGAAGCACCGGCUAACUACGUG
rnacentral:rRNA from 1 species